UUCAACUUCAUCAAUCUCACUAUUACUUGAACUGGAUACCGCUUGCACAAGUUCAUUAUAUCUAGCAAUAAACCGUGGUUGCGUCGAGAAUACAAUAGAAAAGGACUCUUCUAAAUCACAGUGAACAGUGAGAAUCUCCAAAAUAUCAACUAAAUGAAUUUGACUAGCAUAUACAUUGUCUUCGUUGAUUUUCAGCGAAAGAUCUGGAAACUCGCACAAAAGUUCAGAAUCAGAAUCAAGAAGAUUCAAAGACUCUAAGCGUGCUCUAACUAAUCCAAAAAAAUCUUCAAUGGUAUUUUCGUUUAAAUCGUCACCAUUAGAAUAUAAAUACAUACCCUCAUCGUUGUUAUUACCAUAAAAAGCACAUUCCGAAGAGUUUGGAAAAAUGACGAUACCCUUGGAAAGCCAAUUAAAAUCUCGGGUUUCGGCUUCACUUGUGGAAUCUUUGGGAUCAUCAGAAAUGGGAAGAAUGUUGUUAACACUUUGAGCGUUCAAUUCUGACGAAGGUGAAACGACAUCAUCUACAUCCACAACUUCAUUUGCCAAUUCAUUUAGCUCAGUGGGUACUUCGUCUAAAUCAUUUUCCCCAUGCGUCGUACCUUUAGCUUCAAGAUCUACAGCAUCCGUUGCUUC